rnacentral:sRNA from 1 species
UAUACAAAUACAAAUUAUAUACAUAAAUAAAUAUGAAUUAUGAGUUAUAUAUGAAUUAUGGUGUCUUGAGACACCAGGAACUUGGGGCAAAGACAACUGGAGGGAACUCGAGAGCAUUUUUAAAGACGCCUAUGCAACCGGUGGUGGAGACUACAUGAAGAAGGGGGUGCAAGCGAUAAAAGAUGAGUUUGACAUGAUUGGGACAAUCAAAAUGAGAUAAUGAAAACAAAUGGAGGUUUGCGGAACUUGUUCAUGUUGAGAUGACCGAGAUAAAUGAGGUUGACGAGAAUAACAAGAAGGUAAAGGUAACAUGUAGUUACUUUCUCAAAUUCGUGGAUGGAAACAAUAAGAUAUUCUCACUCAGCCUAGGCAAUGUUGAACUCAAACGUUGCACUAUCAAUUAGUGAACUCCAAAUCUACACUAUCAAUAAUGUGUUCUUGUUUUGCUUCGUCUAGCCAAUUUAU